UGCACAUGAUGAUAAUUGAAAGUUCUUGAUAGGAAUUGCCGGCUGAUACAUACAUGAAGCUAGCUUUUGUUUUAACUGAAAUCCCA
rnacentral:snoRNA from 1 species